GAUUGUUGAAGUGCACAUAUAUUUGUGCAAAAUAGCCUUUGAUGUUAGUGGUGUAGUGACAUGGUAUAUCGAAUUAAUGUUGAGUAUAAAUGAUGGUUGGUCUAGUAAGAGGGUGUUGUUUGAAUUUCAAGAUCCAGAAUCUUACUCGAUGUACUCGGUGGGUUAAACAUGUGUUGGAGUUUUCAUCUGAGAUUGAUAAUGUUUCUUAUAGUAAACAUGUGGUAGUCAUCCUUUAGAUUGGUAGUAUUUGACGAUGGCAAUGUAAGUACUCUGUAUGUAACACCAAUGAUAAUGUAAAAAUAAUGAAGUAUGUAGAUCUUUUUUGUUUUUAUAACGUGGCCGUGGUAUGUGUUUU